AUACGUAUGGGGCGAGCGUUAUCCGGAAUUAUUGGGCGUAAAGAGUUCGUAGGCGGUCCUUUAAGUCAGAAGUGAAAGGCAGUGGCUCAACCAUUGUAAGCUUUUGAAACUGGAGGACUUGAGUGUUGGAGAGGAAAGCGGAAUUCCUAGUGUAGCGGUGAAAUGCGUAGAUAUUAGGAGGAACACCAGUGGCGAAGGCGGCUUUCUGGACAAAUACUGACGCUGAGGAACGAAAGCGUGGGGAGCGAACAGGAUUAGAUACCCUGGUAGUCCACGCCGUAAACGAUGAGUGCUAGGUGUUGGGGUAGCGAUACUUCAGUGCCGCAGCUAACGCAUUAAGCACUCCGCCUGGGGAGUACGGUCGCAAGACUGAA
rnacentral:rRNA from 1 species